rnacentral:rRNA from 1 species
UACAGAGGGGGCUAGCGUUGUUCGGAAUUACUGGGCGUAAAGGGCGCGUAGGCGGCCACCGCAAGUCGACUGUGAAAUCUCCGGGCUUAACCCGGAAAGGUCAGCCGAUACUGCGGGGCUAGAGUGCAGAAGGGGCAACUGGAAUUCUCGGUGUAGCGGUGAAAUGCGUAGAUAUCGAGAGGAACACCUGCGGCGAAGGCGGGUUGCUGGGCUGACACUGACGCUGAGGCGCGAAAGCUAGGGGAGCGAACGGG